rnacentral:lncRNA from 1 species
CUUCCAUACUGUGGAAGCUUUGUUCUUUCGCUCUGCAAUAAAUUUUGCUGGUGCUCACUCUUUGGGUCCACAUUCCCCUUAUGAGCUGUAACACUCACAGGGAAGGUCUGCAGCUUCACUCCUGAAGCCAGCGAGACCAUGAACCCACCCGGAGGAAUGAACAACUCCAGACUCUCCGACUUAAGAGCUGUAACACUCACCGGGAAGGUCUGCAGCUUCACUCCUGAGCUUGCGAGACCAGGAAUCCACCAGAAGGAAGAAACUCUGAACACAUCCGAAUAUCAGAAGGAACAAACUCUGGACACGACGCCUUUAAGAACUGUAACAUGUAAUCCCAGCACUUUGGGAGGCCAAGGCGGGUGGAUCACGAGGUCAGGAUAUCGAGACCAUCCUGGCUAACACGGGAUAUUUUGGUCUGUUUCAAAGAAGAGGAAAUCAGCCCCUAGCAGAGUGUUUCAGAAAAGCAGCAGAAGAAAAGAAAAAAGAUUAAAGCCAUAUCUCUUGGGGAGAGAGAUAAAAAUCUGGAUUUUGUUUGAAACAAUGUUUCCAUUUCCAACACCUCAGGUCCAUAAAAAGUAGGAGAAAAAAAGUCUUCUUGGGGUUUCAGCAUGCACAGUGCAUUUAUUCUCUCUCUCAUUUCUUAAUUUGUCAGUUUCUUUCGCCAAGUACCAAAUCCAGUAAAUGUUCUUUAAAUGGAAAGAAAAAAGCAAUAAUGAAUGCCAGAAAAGUUUCCCAACCAGCCGGCCAAACCACAAGUAUCCAAAAAUGUGAUUUCAUUUUUAAUAAUACAGAAAACUGAGGAAUAUCAAGUAGAAAUAUAAAGAGAGGAAAAACAUUGACUUAUUCUAAACACCAAUAAAAAGGAUUUCCAACUUCAGAAUGUUUGUAGAAGACAUGAAGAGAAAUAGCUAGUCAAUGAAGGAAUUCAGAACCCGGUGUUCACAAAAUUAAGAAGAUACUAGUGAUCAAUGAACUCUAAACACUCAUAUGGGUUUGCCUUCUCUGAAUCCUUUGAAAUUCACUCUCUAUUCGGUGUCCAAAUUUCCUGUAUAUGUAAAAUGGAGCCAAGGAGCCCACAUUGU